CCUGAGGGGCACAUUGUGAAGUGAUGGGGAAUACAAAAGGACGUCUACAAGUUUAACAGUCCCUUAUUGCCAUCCUUAUUCGUCCCCCAUCUUUACUUUCCCCCUUCCCGCUCCUCUUCUCUUCUCCAGGUCAGACUGGCACAAAAGUGAAGCAAAUAAUGCAUGAGGGUAAUAUACUCUACCAUCACCUUUCUUUAAUGGUGACCUCUCAAGCCCAUCUUCCUUCUCUUAUAUAGUCUCUCCUGUCUCGAGAGCUGUCACUAAUCCUCUUGCUGCUUUUAGCCAACUCCCUCUUUAAUCAUAAUUCAAACAGUGUAUCAAAAUGCAGGAGCAAAAGGCACCGAGAGCCAUCCAUCAAAAUACUGACAUUGAAUAAGAACCUGAAUAUGUGAUGAGGAGCAGAAACAACACAUUGCAACAUUUUGCAGCACAGGUUUUUUUUUCGUUUUUUUGUUUUUUUUCUUGCAUAAACCCACUGACCCGACUUUGGAUAAUAUUCACUCUACUUUGUUAUUCAGUGACGCCUCAUAGAUUUUGCAUGGAAUUGAUGGCAAAGUUUGUUUAGUGACAGACUGCGGUGACAGUGUUGAUUCAUUGUAAUUGAAAGUGGGGAAAACACUGAUUAAGUAUCGCAAAUUAAAUUACCGUCUAUGAUGUAUUUGAUGAUAAAUCAAAAGCCUGAUGCUAGGGUUUAUCAAAAGAGACGCACAUGCUGAGGACAGAAGAAAACAGGCAACAUGUGACUCCUAAAAUCUAACUCGUCUGGGAAGGCAUUUAAUUGCCAGAAGGUACAUGAAAAGAUUGAUUCCACAUGCGUGUCAGGGCAUUCAUUAAUUUCUGCUCUGAAGAAGCUCACUGUUUUUGUUCUAGGUUGAUUUUCUCACAGUAAGGAUUAACUGCAGAUGCAACUGGGUACUAAGCAACUCAACGGUUUGAUCAGAGAAAAGUUCGCCUGCAUGAAAUUAAUCUUCUCCCACCGUAUGCUUGAAUAAAUGACUACCGUGGUUGAGGAUCAGACAGUUCUCUGUUAUAAGGAUGCAAUAAAGUCUCUCUGGAUACAGAGCACCAAAAAAUGUUCAUAUGUACACUUCAUCA
ensembl:lncRNA